AGAGGCUCUCUUCUCCGCUUCAGACGCACCGCACUUCUCCAUCUCUCAAUCCAACACGGUGGCGGCAGCAGCAGCGGAGCGCAGCGGCGGAGCCGGACACACAGCAGCCAGAUGUGAUGAAGAGGAGGACGCAUCAUGCACGGUGCCGACUGACCUGCAAGAUAUCAACAGGUCGACGCAGAGUUCUUUAGCGAGAGGCAAAGCGCUUCCUCGUCCACCUGCGCACUGUGAGUAACUGUCAGCAUGUCGGCCGUCUGCCGCCUCGUUUUUUUCCCUUCUCUACACACUUCAUUGUGUUGUUUCUCUGAUUGGAACCUUUACAGAUGGCCUGCGUGUAUGUAUUGCUGUUUAUUUUUUCCCUGAAUGUUAGACCUUUCUUUGCACGUUCCUCCAUGUGUGAAGUCUGUUACGAUUCUGCAUGCAGGUGUGAAAGCGGGCAUGUACCACGUUGAUCCACUGCCUUGUUAUGUGUACAACUUCACUUGGUUUGUGUGAUUUUUGUGGCCCUUGUAUGCAGUUUCUCACAGUGCAUGUGCGUGUGAUUUGUAGGCGUGUGUGACAUACUUCUUCAAGCAUGAUGUGUGUCUUCUAAGUUUGUUUGUGUGUCCUUCUGUGUCUCAAUAUGUACGUGUGUGUGUGUGUGUGUAUGCAUGUGUGUUUAUAAUCCAAGGCCAUUCAAUAGCACCACAUGGAUCCAUCCCAUAUCCUGGUCACCAUGGUUACCGGGGCCACUUAUCACAGAGGGUCCCGGCAGAUCAAACAGGUGUGCAUCCUGACAAUGUCUCUCCUCGACGACUGUUGCUAGGAACCUUUGUUGCACACAACGCACAGGUGUUUGUUGCCGCUGGUGAAAAACCAGCAGGAGCGCAAAAAACAUUUUCUUGAUGUCCCAGUCUGAACUGGUGUGUGUGUGUGUGUGUGUGUGUGUGUGUUUUCUUGUACUUGUUGUCCUUGUGUGAAACAGUGUAAUUUCGUUCGUCUGAAAGAGGAUGUUCUUUGUAGAAAAGAGGUCAUUUUGUGGGUCAUCACUUUAUCAAGUUGCUACUUCGGGACCUGGAGCUGGGUUUAGGGUUCAGAACAGAAUAGAGGUUGAAAUUUAAAGCCCCUGAAAAUCCAAUUUUAAAUCUUUAGGUUUUCUCUGUAUUAUUAAAGGAGCACUCCAACAAAUAAAUGCAGCAGAGGCCGAAAUAUAAUAAUAUCUUUUAGUCCUUAAUACAAGUUAAGCUUCAAAGACACCAGAUCCUAUGAUUUCAACCC